CCCCGCGCCGCUGUGGGGUCCCAGCGGGACACGCUUCCUUCCCACGGACAAGCACCAAGGGUGCUCUUACCUACUCCCAGGGGCAAGAAUUAGCUUGAUCUGGGAGCUUUGCCCGGGCAGAACAGAGACCACGGCUUUUCAGCUUCUAGUAGAGGUAGGACUGGGAUACAGCCGGAAAGCUAAAGCAAAGGUAACCUAUGGAACAGAUGAGGAGGGAGAGGGUAGAAUCGAGUGAGAGAGAGGUGAGCAAGGACGGGGUAAAUCCUCGGUCAGCUCUUUAAACAGUAGCUGUUACCGCAUAGCAAAGGCACCGACAAGCUCGGUGCGACAUCCCCGGACCGCGGCACUGUUUGGCGAGCAUGGCCCAGACCCAGGGGCUGCACUGCCGUGCACAGCGACCCCUCCAUGGGGCUCCGAGAGCCCCGUCCCGGCAGCGGCGGAGCCGGCCUCGGGCAGCGCCCGCCCCCGCUUCCUCCCCCGCCCCCGCCGCCAUGUUGUGGGGCCGAGCGCCGCGGGAGGCGCAGGGGCCGCGGCCCGGCGGAGCCGCCGCUCGGGGCAGCGCAACAGAUGGCUGAGGGCUAGCGGCGCGCAGUCGGGACCAUGAUGGCUCAGUUUCCCGCAGCCGUGAAUGGAAUCUUGUGCGUUCAGGCUUUCCAGUGUACUGCAGCAGUUCUUUGGGACAUCUGUUGCUUUUCUGACAAUGGGACAGUAGCUUUAAAUCAUCACUGAGUGAACUGCAAGGGGUGGAACCCUGGAAAGCUGAAAGAAUGUCAGUGGCUAUGGGACUAGCAUUCAUACUGGCUGUCUUCAGAGAAGAUGCUUUAAUAAGCUAAAAACAUCUGUGCUUUAGGUGGAUGUGAAGUUCUCUGUAUGCAAGUCUCAAGAACAGGGAUUAUACUCCUCCUGAAAGCAUGGAUUAUGUUUCUACAUUGGGAUCGCUGCAUGGCACGGGGUGUUCUGAUGUUCCUCCCUUAUGGAUGGAUUUUGUGUAUCGCAGUGGGGGCUGCCAGUGACAAGGUCUCCAGGCAGAAUUCUGCACCCCAUCUCACAGGAGAAAGUGGAUCGUUUAAACAAGCUCAGUAUUUGAUUUCAGUGAACUGUCCAGCCUGAGAGUUCCCAGUGUACCAAAUAUCUGGAAAUUCUGUACAUAAUGCAAAGAAUAUUAAUUGUACUCUAAAAUGCAAUGUGGCUGCUGUUGCUUUGUCCACAUUUCUGUAAGUUUGCUCUACAAUUAAACAAACUUUUCUUGGCU
rnacentral:lncRNA from 1 species